rnacentral:lncRNA from 1 species
AUGGCUUCAUUUCCCAGUAUCAUAGGAACAGUCAAAGUCAAUUAUCCCCAUGGUUGGAAGCAUGGUAUCCGGCAGGUGGCAGGUAUGGUGCUGAAGAAGUAGAGCUCUCAUCCAUCUGAUGGAAGCAGAGGCAGACACCCACAGAUAUACACUGAGCUGAACUCUGGAACCUAUUUGCAGAGAGGGAGGAAUGAAGAUCAAAGGGGUCAGUAACAGGCUGAUGAACCCAACAGAAACAGCUGGCCUGAACAAGGGAGAGCACAUGGACCCCAGACUGCUGUCUUGGAGGCCAGCACAGGACUGAUCCAGACCCCUGAACAUGGAUGUCAAUGAGGAGGCCUCUGCACUCUAGGGGGCCCCUGGUAGUGGAUUAGUAUUUUUCCCUGGUGUAAGAAGGGACUUUGAGAGCCCAUCCCAAGUGAAGGGAUGCACUCUUGGUCUGUACACAUAGAGAAGGGCCUAGACCCUGUCCAGGAUGAUGUGGUGGACUUUGGGGAGCCCCCAUAGAGGGCCCUACCUUGCCUCGG